rnacentral:rRNA from 1 species
UACGGAGGGUGCAAGCGUUAUCCGGAUUUACUGGGUUUAAAGGGUGCGUAGGUGGGUUGGUAAGUCAGUGGUGAAAUACUUUCGCUUAACGAAGGAACUGCCAUUGAUACUAUCAAUCUUGAAUGUAGUGGAGGUAGGCGGAAUGCGUCAUGUAGCGGUGAAAUGUUUAGAUAUGACGCAGAACACCAAUUGCGAAGGCAGCUUGCUACACUACUAUUGACACUGAGGCACGAAAGCGUGGGGAUCAAACAGG